rnacentral:rRNA from 1 species
CAGCCGCCGCGGUAAAACGAAGGGUGCAAGCGUUAAUCGGAAUUACUGGGCGUAAAGCGCGCGUAGGUGGUUUGGUAAGAUGGAUGUGAAAUCCCCGGGCUCAACCUGGGAACUGCAUCCAUAACUGCCUGACUAGAGUACGGUAGAGGGUGGUGGAAUUUCCUGUGUAGCGGUGAAAUGCGUAGAUAUAGGAAGGAACACCAGUGGCGAAGGCGACCACCUGGACUGAUACUGACACUGAGGUGCGAAAGCGUGGGGAGCAAACAGGAUUAGAUACCCCCGUAGUCCCUGUCUCUUAUAC